rnacentral:rRNA from 1 species
GAGCUCGCGGCCUAUCAGGUAGUUGGUGAGGUAAUGGCUCACCAAGCCAAUGACGGGUAGCUGGUCUGAGAGGAUGGUCAGCCAUACUGGAACUGAGACACGGUCCAGACUCCUACGGGAGGCAGCAGCCGAGAAUCUUCCGCAAUGGGCGAAAGCCUGACGGAGCGACACCGCGUGUAGGACGAAAGCCUUCGGGUUGUAAACUACUGUCACUUGGGACGGGACUGUACCAAGAGAGGAAGCCACGGCUAACUCUGUGCCAGCAGCCGCGGUAAUACAGAGGUGGCGAGCGUUGUUCGGAUUGACUGGGUGUAAAGGGUGCGUAGGCGGCUUGGCAAGUCGGAUGUGAAAUCCUGCAGCUCAACUGCAGAACGGCAUUCGAAACUGCCAGGCUAGAGUGCGAGAGAGGUGAAGGGAAUUCCCGGUGUAAGGGUGAAAUCUGUAGAG